rnacentral:rRNA from 1 species
CCUACGGGUGGCUGCAGUCGAGAAUCAUUCACAAUGGGGGAAACCCUGAUGGUGCGACGCCGCGUGGGGGAAUGAAGGUCUUCGGAUUGUAAACCCCUGUCAUGUGGGAGCAAAUUAAAAAGAUAGUACCACAAGAGGAAGAGACGGCUAACUCUGUGCCAGCAGCCGCGGUAAUACAGAGGUCUCAAGCGUUGUUCGGAAUCACUGGGCGUAAGGCGUGCGUAGGCUGUUUCGUAAGUCGGGUGUGAAAGGCGCGGGCUCAACCCGCGGACGGCACAUGAUACUGCGAGACUAGAGUAAUGGAGGGGGAGGCGGAAUUCUCGGUGUAGCAGUGAAAUGCGUAGAUAUCGAGAGGAACACUCGUGGCGAAGGCGGGUUCCUGGACAUUAACUGACGCUGAGGCACGAAGGCCAGGGGAGCGAAAGGGAUUAGAUACCCCGGUAGUC